rnacentral:rRNA from 1 species
UACGGAGGGUGCAAGCGUUAUCCGGAUUUACUGGGUUUAAAGGGUGCGUAGGUGGGCGAGAAAGUCAGUGGUGAAAUCUCCGGGCUUAACCCGGAAACUGCCAUUGAUACUAUUUGUCUUGAAUACUUUGGAGGUAAGCGGAAUAUGUCAUGUAGCGGUGAAAUGCUUAGAUAUGACAUAGAACGCCAAUUGCGCAGGCAGCUUACUACACAGUAAUUGACACUGAGGCACGAAAGCGUGGGGAUCAAACAGG